GGGCCUUAGCUCAGUUGGUAGAGCGCCUGCUUUGCAAGCAGGAUGUCAGGAGUUCGAAUCUCCUAGGCUCCA
rnacentral:tRNA from 1 species